UGUGAGCCUGUCAAACUAAUGGCCGAGUCACCAAAAUGGGUCAAGGAGCUGGGAGGGGUUUUAAAGCAAGGAUCUGGUUGAUAGAUGUGAUGUUUCUAUGGUCAUUCUGUGAAGCUUCAUUGCUGUAAGAUGUAAUGUUGGGUUUCCUA